rnacentral:rRNA from 1 species
CAGAGGUCCCAAGCGUUGUUCGGAUUCACUGGGCGUAAAGGGUGCGUAGGUGGUCAGGUAAGUCGGAUGUGAAAUCUCCGAGCUCAACUCGGAAACUGCAUUGGGAAACUACCUGGCUCGAGGGUUGGAGGGGGGACUGGAAUGCUUGGUGUAGCAGUGAAAUGCGUAGAUAUCAAGCGGAACACCAGUGGCGAAGGCGAGUCCCUGGACAACGUCCUGACACUGAUGCACGAAAGCUAGGGGAGCAAACAGGAUUAGAUACCCUGGUAGUCCUAGCCGUAAACGGUGCACGUUUGCUGUAAAAGGAAUCGACCCCUUUUGUGGCGUAGCCAACGCGUUAAACGUGGCCGCCUGGGAAGUACGGUCGCAAGAUUA